ACUGAAGAAAUAAUUGUUUAUCAAAAAAAAUGCCAAAGGCCUUGCCUAUCUUUCAUUCGUGCAGCUGAUACACAAGCAAGUGCUGCUAUUUCUUUUAUUCUGUUCUGUAUCCAAAUGAAAUCCAUACUUUUUGUGAAAGAUGACUGACACUUGUUCAUUCUGCCACCAAGGCUAAUAGUUUCUUCAGCUACUUUCUAUCUGCAGCAAUUUGAAAUAAAUUUCCCCAACACUAUGCAGCCAGUUGCAUCUAGAGAACACAGAAUAGACAUCACUGUCUUUCCAAGCAAGCCUGCACAUCAAGCCAAGGCUUGGUCUUUUAAGCGCAGAUUCCAAAGAUCCUCAUUAGUUCAGUGCUCUUGGCAAAGCCAAAACUUCCCAACCAAUCUCUAAAACAACUGCUAAUCACAUCUGUUCAUUCUCAUUUUUAAAACUAAGUCCCCGGUAGGAAUGUUUGCAUGUAUCUUAAAGUGUUCUACUAUCAAAAACACAGCUGAAUAGUCACAUCACUGAGGGCCAUGGUUAGUGGCCAUGGUGGUGUUGGCCAAGAUAAUCUUAGUGGUCUUUUCCAACUUUACUAGUUCUUCAAUUCCGUAUUUUUACUAUACUGUAUUUUUAUAAUGUAUAUUGUGCAAUAUACAUUAAGAGCCCACGUAAAUAAUAAACAAUUUCUAUUUGUAUAGCAUUUAUAUUUGUUUGGGUAACGGCAGCCCUGAAUUUUUUAAACAAAUGCUGCUUGGCAAAAAUGUCAAAUUGGAAAUUACCUAAGAAAAUAUUUACCUAAGAAAACAGGAAUUGAAGGUUGGGGGAACAAGCAGAAAAACCAGAGCACAGUGUGAUACAGACAGCGAUGAACUCUGGCUUCUAAGCUUCAAAAAUCCAAAAGUCUUACCGUGGGAAAAGUACACUAAAAAUCUUAUCAAGCAGUUCUAAAUAUGUUGACAUGUGGCAUCUUUCACAUGCUGCUUGAGUUACAAAGGAAGAAUGAAUAUUUCUUUAGCAGAAUUUCCCAACAGAAGUUAGCAGUAUUGACUAGACAGUUGGACUUCAAAUAUUUUGUGCACCCCACCCUAUUCAGCCAAAUCAAGCGUUCUGCAUGCCUAGGGCAUCAGUGCUAUACACACUGACCAUUCACAAUAAAGCAAUUAAGAAAUGAAGUGAACUGAGAACAAAGUAUUCUUCCAUCACAUGACUGAUUCUUUGGUUUCUAAUCCAAUGAGGGCCACACACUGCAAUUUGUUACAAACCUCGCCAGAGUUUAUAGCAGAUGUUGUGGCUAUGAACAAGUGCUUCCUUUGAGGUGCUGUAAGCUAGCUACUUGUUUGUUUUUCCCUCUAUUUUACAAAAGAAUAAUCAUAGAGAAUUAGGAACAAGUGAAAAAGAAGAGUAAAAAUAGAGAAAAGAAAAGCAUUGAAAGGAUAACGAGAAGAAGUUUGAAAGUAUCCAUGCAAAUCCCAUGUUACAGCUAGAAACAGAAAACCAAGAAAAGGACACGUGAACAUAAAAAGGUAAAGAAGGUGCUUAAACACACCGCCAAAAGCCAUCACACAGUUUUUGUUAAAAUUCACAGAAGCAUCCAGCUCCAGAGAUGGUUAAAUGAUUGUUAAGGUACUUACUUAUUACACAAUACUCUGGACAUGGUUGAAACAUAAAAAAUGUCCGACUACUAAGUUAUUAUGUUUUAAAUGCUGACUGGCUAUAUUUAAAAGUUCACAGCUAUUUUACUCUUUCUAGCUGUCAUGAACACAGAAAGCUUGAACAAAAUGAUUCCAAAUGGCCCCUUCCAACCUCAACCAUGCUGUGAUUCUGUGCUAAAAAGAAACUAUGUCAGCCUCUGGGAACUUUAAAUAAGUGUUCCAGCUUCUCCAGUUACAGUAUCUCUUAUAUGGACUCAACAGAAGCAUUGUAGAAGACUAAUUAAGAGGGAAGGGGACAGAGGGGGAAGAGAAGAAGGUAAAAUAUCUCAGUUUAUCUCACUGUAAGAAGAAGUAAAUGUCUCAGGGUUCUGAAUUAACCAAAGAGCAAAGAAAAAAGACAUCACAAGGCUUAUAUUAAAGUACCUACAUUUUA